rnacentral:tRNA from 2 species
GCCGACGUAGCUCAGUGGUUAGUAGCACAUGCUUCAUAAGCAUGGGGUCGGAGGUUCGAAUCCUCCCGUCGGCA